rnacentral:rRNA from 1 species
AACGAACGCUGGCGGCAUGCCUAACACAUGCAAGUCGAACGAAGUCUUCGGACUUAGUGGCGCACGGGUGCGUAACGCGUGGGAAUCUGCCCUUGGGUGCGGAAUAACUUCUCGAAAGGGAUGCUAAUACCGCAUAAUGUCGUAAGACCAAAGAUUUAUCGCCCAAGGAUGAGCCCGCGUAAGAUUAGCUAGUUGGUGGGUAAAAGCCUACCAAGGCGACGAUCUUUAGCUGGUCUGAGAGGAUGAUCAGCCACACUGGGACUGAGACACGGCCCAGACUCCUACGGGAGGCAGCAGUGGGGAAUAUUGGACAAUGGGCGAAAGCCUGAUCCAGCAAUGCCGCGUGAGUGAUGAAGGCCCUAGGGUUGUAAAGCUCUUUUACCAGGGAUGAUAAUGACAGUACCUGGAGAAUAAGCUCCGGCUAACUCCGUGCCAGCAGCCGCGGUAAU